rnacentral:misc_RNA from 1 species
GAUGAAGAACGCAUCGAAAUGCGAUAAGUAAUGUGAAUUGCAGAAUUCAGUGAAUCAUCGAAUCUUUGAACGCACAUUGCGCCCCUUGGUAUUCCGAGGGGCAUGCCUGUUCGAGCGUCAUUAUAACCCCUCAAGCUUAGCUUGGUGUUGGGGCCUGCUGUAAUAGAGCAGCCCUUAAAAUCAGUGGCGGUGCCAUUAGGCUCUAAGCGUAGUAAUUCUUCUCGCUAUAGGGUUCUGGUGGAUGCUUGCCAUUAACCUCUAAUUUUCUAUGGUUGACCUCGGAUCAGGUAGGGAUACCCGCUGAACUUAAGCAUAUCAAUAAGCGGAGGA